UAAGAAGGGGGCUAGCGUUGUUCGGAAUUACUGGGCGUAAAGCGCACGUAGGCGGACUGUCAAGUCAGGGGUGAAAUCCCGGGGCUCAACCUCGGAACUGCCUUUGAUACUGUCAGUCUAGAGUCCGGAAGAGGUGGGUGGAAUUCCUAGUGUAGAGGUGAAAUUCGCAGAUAUUAGGAAGAACACCGGUGGCGAAGGCGGCCCACUGGUCCGGUACUGACGCUGAGGUGCGAAAGCGUGGGGAGCAAACAGG
rnacentral:rRNA from 1 species